CGGGCGUUAUCGCGACGCGCGCUGAGUCACAAGCCAAGUCAGAGAAGGUUAGGGUUUACCGGUCGAGACUUCCUCCUCCCCGCCGCCGCCGCCGCCGCCGCCAUGGGACACUCCAACGUCUGGAACUCGCACCCCAAGAACUACGGCCCCGGAUCCAGGGUUUGCCGCGUGUGCGCCAACCCCCACGGCCUGAUCCGGAAGUACGGGCUCAUGUGCUGCAGGCAGUGCUUCCGCAGCAACGCCAAGGACAUCGGCUUCAUCAAGUACCGCUGAAAACUUGAGGAGGUCCAAAGCAUCACGAGAAUGGGAGCACGGAUGAGGAGCAUCUUCUUUGAUCCGUCUUUUGCUUAGUACUAUCAUAAUCAUACCAUGUACUGAAUUAUUUGGGUUUAAAAUGGACCAAGUCGUUGUAUUCUAGCUGGCAGUCUACCGCGUGCUAGUUGAGAAUGUAGAACAGCAAUGAUCAGACUAAUAUCAGUGUUAUUGUGCCGCAUUACCGUUGCUAUCGUGCCUGCAUUGGAGUU